CAUUAAUUAACUGCUCACUAUAUAAUCUUCUCUUAAUCUCUUCAGCAAAGCACCAUAGCCAUCUCGAGCCUUCGAAUUCUCAAAAAUUCCAGUACGCUCUUGCCUUCUCAAUUCUUCAAUUCUUGCCCCUUUAAUUCCAACUUUUCCUCAUGUCUUCCUCUCAAAGUCCUCAAUGGCACCCAAAGUUGCUCGAAUCCAAUCUCCCUGCGAAACUGGUGAAGGGAUUUCCACCAUACGCCACUUACUCAAUGGCCUUCAUCGCCCUUGGGCAGGCAUACACAUUGAACUUUUCUUCGAGGAGAGAGGAAUGCACUCUUUAGGACCUGUAUGGACUUCUCAGGUCCCUGUUGCCAUUGAAAAUAACAUGCCCACCCCAAACCCAUUUUAGGCCAAAUCGAGCAUUUUAUCUUCCAAAUGGUCGAACCAUCGCUGCGAGUUUCAUUUGAUGAAGGAUGAGGCAUGGAUACAAUGGAUCAAUGAGCUGGAUCCCAUCUUUAACUAGAAGUGGAUGAAUAACGAAAUUUAUGAGCUAAUAAUGCUCUCUAAGGCCACAAUUAUUGCUAAGCCUGAAUUUCUCACAACGACUAUUCUCUUCUAGAGCUCGGGCAUUAAUACCUUUGACUUUAGGAUGGGCCCUAUGUCCCUGACCAUCCUGGAUAUGGCGCAAAUCUUCAGGUUGAGGCCUUCAAGCAUGAUCAUAUAUGUUACCCACGAUUGGGCUCCUCCCUCUCAUCAAACUGCUAAAAGCUCAGGCAGUUCUGCCCCAUUUCUCAAAAUGGAAUAUAAUUCCUCAACCUUCAAGAGCUAUGGGACCUCAUUUAUAGGUUUUAUCCCAUUUGCAAAGAAUGAAUUUGGCCCAUCUUCUUCCAAAGCCAACAGAGAUAAGGAGCACAUGUAUUUCCUCAUCUACUAUUUUAUCAAACAUGUAUUCCCCAAUAAGUCCAAGGGAGUGAAGGUCGAAUGGAUUCCUCUGGUGGAAGCUCUUCACAACUUUGACGAUGUGGCCACGGGUCCAUUCCUCCUCUGUCACCUUUAUCAUACUUUUUUCGAGAUGACUCGAGGAGAUCCAUUUGAGACCAACCUAAAUGGACCUGUUUGGAUGAUCCAAUUAUGGCUUCAAUGGUACUUCUCUAUGCUUCGGGCUCCUAAUCUUGAAUACCUCGAAAGAGUGGCCCCUGCCCAAAUUCUAGCUGAAGCCUCUCUUACAAAUUCUUCCACAUUCUGCUGUCUGUACUUUUUCAGAGUCUGCAAGACUUGGGCAGAUCUGGAGUGGGGUGUUUCAGUCUUAAGGAGAUACUCAUGGUUCAGUGACUAAGCUUUCUAGAAUGCUUUUAGAGAAGAUGCUAGUCCAUUUUCUAAAAAGAGAUUUAUCAACUGCAUCCAGUCAAGGGAUCUGGCUUAGGGUGUGAGGAGUGACCGCUACGAGCGUAGGAUAGAAAUCUAUCACCCAAACUUCUGUACCAGGAAGUUAGGCUCUAGACAAGCUAUCCCAGUGCCCUUCUUUGACUCUGUUCAAUGUGGCACCUCCUACCAUCUUCACUAUUCACCUGAAGUUACUUAGUCACCCGAUGCAAUCUUGAGGUCAUGAGCAAGGUUGCCCGAUGCAGUCUUGAGGUCAUGAGUAAUGUUGCCCGAAAGCUCAUGGCUCUUAAUUUCAAAUGUACUUCAAGCUUUGCUUCUUGGUGGGAGACAAAGUAAACCAAAAAGUAUGGAGGAGAUUUGCACGAAGCCCAUGAUCGCAUUUUCAAACAUCUAUCUAUCAAGUCUUAUCCUAGCUCAAAUGAGCUUGAGAACUGGAAGGAAAUGGUUCAUUAGAAAAACCAACUCCUUUUGAUAAGUAUUUGUUACUUUUUAACUUGAAAUUCUUCUGAAUCUGCCCACUCUAAUCUUUUUCCUGAUUUCUUUGUACUUGCAGCUCAAGGCAACCCCACAAAGAUGGUCAUUGGGCAAGAUGAAGAUACUGCAGACGCCUUCAUCCACCAAAAAGUCAUAGCUGAAGUAAAAAGGCAUGGUACUGGAAAAGGCAGAGAUGUCUUCGAGUUGCUUGGAGACUCUGAGGGUAAAGAAGAACCUGUAGUUGAGCCUCGGGUUACACGUUAGACUCGAGCAAUGGUAGUAGAGACUUCAGAGUCUGAACCCGAAGAGCGGCUGGUUCUAACAAAGAAAACGACGAGGGCACGGACAUUCAAAGCCUCUAGGUCUUCUACUUUAGUAGCUGAGGCAGGCGUGGGUAGGAAGAAACAAAAAUCCUCAAGUGUGUAAACCUUGUUUAAUUCCUUUCAUCAAUCGGCAACAUCUGCAUUUGGGGAGCCCGUAGUCCUUGAGAUCCUUGUGGUUUUAGAGGUCACUAACCUGUAGGUUUUUCAAGAUGCAGAUCGAGCUAGCUCACCUACUCAUUCUCAGGGUUUUACUAAGGUAUAUAGGCCAUCUUCUAUUUUCCAUUUCUGCACCAUUUAGUUUAUUGACACUUAUCUUUUCAAUUUCGUAAACCUCUGGUGAAGGCUCGAGCACCAUCACUUCUCCUUCAGCAAGCAAGGAUGAUCAUUCUCAGCAACUAAAAGAAACAAGUCAUCAUCCAUCUCCUUCCAAGGCAAUGAGCUCAACUCAGGUAUAUUGACCUCUCUUGUCUCACCUUCCUCUACUCUGAAUUAUAAACUAUUUUCUUAACUUAUCUCAUUUGGUUGCAACAAGGUUUUGGGGAAGGUUUAGGCAAGUCUCCUCCACACUUGGUGCGUAAAACAGAACUUCCCUGGCCUCAUCUAGCUUUUGAGGUCACAGGGACUCCCAUCCCUAGGCCUAAGAAGAAGAUUAAGACCUCAACUGUUCAUACUUCUUAUAAACCUUCUUUUGUCGAGACUUCCUCUAUUGUUGUGCCCUCUGAAGCAGCUGGAACACUACAUUUCCCUCCCGUACCUACCUCUAUAACAACAUCUUUGCCCGAUCUUUUUAAAGAGUUCAGGCAACUCAAGACAAAGCUGAAAUCCUCAAGGCAUUCCUCUGAAUCUUCUAGUUUUCAAGAACAACUCUGAGUCUUUCAAGAGUGGGUGAAGAGGGAUAUUUCAGCUUCCUUUAGUCUCAAGGCCUUUCAUGACAUAGAAAAGGCCAUUACAUAUAUGUGCAAGGCCCAUCAAUUAUCAAGAGUCCAGCAUGAGUCAUUCCUCUUGCAUUUUAAGAAUUUAAGGGCUCUUAGGGAUCAACAUCUGAGGGCUGAGAGGCAAGCCAAUCGAGUGAGGUGUUUCAAGGAGAAAUAAUACAAUACUUCUACUCGUAUUUACCAACUGAUAAAUGAAGGUUCAGCAACUGAGGAGAUGAUCAAAGUGGUGACCUCUGAUAUCCAGAAGUUAGAGGAGCAGCUUGUUAUGCUAAAGGAUGAGCAUGUGACUCUCCUUAGCAAACUCUAGCAGCAAAUUGAAGGAGUGAAGAAGGAAAAUAGGGAGUUUGAGGGUGCUGAGUCUCAACUUGUCAAUGGUAGUACUGUAUUGGCCGAGCCUACCAGAAUUUUCACACUUAUGCAUACUUACUAUUCCAGAAUAAUUUCUUUGAGUGAAGAUGUACAUCUGUUAGGCUAGAGUCAUUGUAACUUUCAUUUUAUGAAAUAAAAUUUUUCUUUGCCUUUACUUCUUGCAUUAUAUUGAAGCUCUCACUGCACCAUCUAACUUCACUUCUUUUUGAAAUUACCAACUCUCUUGAAUACAACAAUUCCUAACAUCCUUGAGAAUUGGAUGAUAUCUCUUUAAAACUUGAUAUUAGCUAGAUGUGUUUGCAAGUUUUCCCCCAAAUUUGUCAAGUAAUAUUAUCCCUUAUCCAGUGCUUGGUGAAUGAUAAAAGGUCAUCCUCAAGUACAACUCAUUUUCCCAAAGCCUCUUACUUGAGCUCCCAAAGGCAUAAUUAUUUUCCAUACUAACUUUCCUUUCUUAAAGGCUUUUAACUUUUACCUUUUUGUUGUAUGCUCGGGCAACAGUUCUCAUUUUCUUGCUUCUUCUCUCUUCCAUAUACCAACACUCUUUUAAUUAAGGACCUUACUGCAAUUACUUGGUCCUUCCUUUUUUGUUCUGACAUUACUGGUGUUGGGGAGUAGGGACAAUAUGGGGUCUAUCCCAUUAUUCCUUAGUGAAGAACAAUCCUUACUCCAAAAGCUUUUGGGUUAUCACCUUAGUCGAGCCUUGGGGAGGAAUCCCAAUACUAGGAUUGUAAAAGUUGGCUUCUAGAACAUUAGCUGUGGGGAGGAAUGGCUAUGACUCGGCCUCCACUAUCUCACAAAAUUCUGGUUUCAUGGCUCAUUUUUCAUGGUAAACUGCUACUUGUUGAUGCAGGGUGCAAGGCACCGAGAGACUCUGAUAAAUCCAAUCUCGGCCCAGUAAAGCUCCAUAUGUGGAAGUAUUAUCCACAACGAAGAAGGCUAGCAUGAUUUGCUUGGAACCCAAGUCAACCUCUAGGGGUAAUAUCCCAUGAGUUCUAGUAAUGGCUUCGGAGAAACUGGAAACUGUUAGAUCUGUAGGGAUGAGAUAUUCCUCACUUCUACACAACUUUCUUACAAGCUCGGGUAAGCCUAUUCUGCCCAACUUUCUUUUCCUGCUUCUUCAACACUAACAUGUGCCAUCAUAGGUUCUGUUGCCAAGUAAUCACCCUCUAUUAUGGUAGGUUGAUCAUGCUUGGGACAAAACAUGGUAGAUAGAACAUAUGUCAUGUUUACGUGGAAGUUGCUAGGUAUAGGUAAGUCCUCAUUCUUGCCCUUAAUGUGGCUCAUGAAUUCAUUUAACCAGGCUUCUGCUUCUUGGGUAACAUCAACUCAGGCAACCUUUCUUCCUAAGUUAUACCAAAGUUCUAUGUCUGUGCUGAGUUCUCACAUAAAGUAUCAACCAACAAUGGUGCGGGCAACCCCCUCUUAGGUGAGAUGUUUCCAAAGUAUAUUGGUUCUGAACUCUAUCUUGGGGUUGGCAUCAUCACCAUAUCCUCUUAAGCUCUCUUCAAGAUUAUGUACUUCCCAGGAUGGGAGCUCUGCAGCAAAUGAUCUUCUUCCCCUUCGGUCUUUCUAUUAGCUUUCUCUACCUCUUUUUUUGCUUUUCCACUGAAUUUGAUUUCUUCCCCCAUGAGGUACUUUCUCAAACUUCACAUUCUCGGAGGUUUCUGAGAUAGUGGGGACUUUUAAUGAGUUCAUGUGGCUCCUAAUCAUAGAGGCUGUCAUUUUCUUAACCGGCUUCCUAUCAUUUCCAACCACAUACCAUUUCCACCCGAGUUGGGCAGGAUUCUUCUUCGCUACGAUUCACUAUCUUUUCCCUUCUUCUGACAUCUCUACAGGUAUAGCUUGGUUGGGGUGGCCUCACAUCCACCAAUCUUAGUGUUUUGGCUUCUCUAUCUUCCACUUCUUUAGAGGUUUCAUAAUUUUUGAAUACUUCUGACAAGCCCUUUGGUUUAGAAUCUCCUCCCACCCUUUGGAAAACAUUUCUUGAGGCCUAUCUCUCAAUUGUUCGCAAGACAUUUAUGUGGGCUUCUUGUUCUUCUUUUUCUCUUUUUUGAUCAACUCCUGAUUAAUGAUAGCUCCUACUGCUGGUACUUCCAACUCACAUUCACACUAACACUUGCUACAUAAUAUCACUUCUCUAACUAUGGUUGCUUUAGGCAUCUCAGCCAACUUGAUGGCUCUUUCUGUUGGUCUGCAACUACUUGCCUCAUUUCUGCUUUUACUUCUCAGAUGGACUUCCAUUUCCCUUUCUCAGCCCACGUUAGGUUGAUCAUGUUUAUUGGAGCCUUUGGGAAGGGAUAUAUGUCAAUCAUCAUGUUAGCCUGUGGUUUCUCCAGCAUCAACUUUUCUUUCACUAUAAGGUCUUGUAUCCAAUCCCUGAAUUGGACACAGUUGGUUAUGUAGUGAUUGAAGAUAUAGUGCAGCUUGCAGUACUUCUUCCCUCUCAACUCUUCUGGCUUAGGCAUCUUUUUGGUGUUGUCAGGCAUAAUCACUCUUACCCGUACCAACUCCUUAUAGAUCUUCGCAGCCUUGGUUAAAUCAAAAGAGUAACUUUGGUAUUUAGGGGGCUUCAUAGGGACAAAACCACCAUCAUUCAUUACCACUUUCUGGUCAUUAACUAGCUGGACUAACCCAUUUACUAUUUAAGGCUUAAAGGGGGUAGUCAUAUCUGCUGCACACAUGUCCAUUCCCUCUUUCCCAUCAUUUUCUUCUAGCUCUCCUUCAAACUCCACUUGGUGGAUGGCAGCUUUGCUUUUGUAAAAAUGAGGCACCCCAAGUGCUUCACUUGCUUCUCUUCAAGCAACAGCUUCUUAUACUUUGUGGCAGCAAUCACCAACUCUUGCAACUCAUUGAACUACACAUCAUAAAACGUUUUCCUCAAAGGCAGCCUUAAAGCCUUCUGAGUAAUGGAUAUAAGUUGGGCAUGAUUGAUAGGGAACUAGCACUUCAUUCUUGUCAUUCUAAACCUCAUCAUGAAGUCCUCUGUAACCCAUGUUCAUAUUAUUUCACCUCCGCAAGGUCAUUAAUGUACAUCUCGGGCUCUAUCCUAUAGAACUGCUCAUGGAAGGCCAUUUUCAUUUGCCCCCAAUUAGCAAUAGAAUUGGGCGGCAACAAAGAGUUCCACUGAGAUGCUAAGCCAAUCAACGAGUUCCCAAACAACCUCAAUUUAUAGUUAGGAUUAUUUUCAAAUGCCACACAAUGGUUGGAAAACUUGAAGAUGUGGUUUCUAGAGGAUACACUGCCAUUCUUUUCACUGAGAGUUGGAAAUGCGGGAAUCAUAAAGUUAAGAGGAAAAUGAUUCUGCUCAUCAAUAUACCCUAGGUAUGGCUUUUGGUAGGUAAUCCUGAACAACGAGCGAGCUUAGGGUUGAGCAUUCUGGGCUAUCAUCAUUCUUAACUCUGCCAAUUCAUCCCUGAGCUACUGGUGAGCUGUAUUAUUAGGCGGGGUAUGAGAAAGUUCCCACUUCAGGCUAUGAUCAUUGCUCGAGAGAGUCUCCUUUCUUGUUUCGGGCUUUUUCCACUUGGUCUCUCCUCAUUUAGUAGCCAAUGGUGGUGACCUAUAAAGGGGAGGCUUGUCUGCCUUGGUAGGCUCCCUUUUCCCACUAGUCUUUCCAAUUGACUGGGGCAUCCCAUAUUCGUUCUUUCGUGCGUGAUGUGCCCCUUACUAUCUAGUGAAAAUAAUAUGGGGUCUGGCAACUCCGCUUCUAAGGUCUCUUCCAACACUGGCUGAUCAAUUCCAAAUCCCUCUUUGUUCUUCCCUUUAUCCCUUUUUUCCUUAAGCAAAGGAAAUAGAGGAAUAACUGGCCCCUUCACAGGGCUGGCUUCUCUCAUCAUUUCUCUAGCAUAACCAUUCUUUGGAGUAGAGUACUCCAGAUCUAGUAUUCUUUUCAAAUUCCCCGUUAAAGAAUAGAGUCUUCUUACUUUCCUCUGGUUUCCAGAGUGAUCUUCUCCAUACUUCUCAGUACUUUUACCAUGGUGCCUUGCAAGUCCUCAUUGGUCACCUUCCCUCCUAACUUCUUGGAUAAAGUCGGGCUUUCUAGAAUAACUGGUCCUUGCAGGGAAAGAAAAUUCUCUGGAUGAUUUGUCAUGCUUGCUUUUGGUAAAUAAUAGGGUGGCCAGUAUUCUGUAUUCCACCUGAAGGUUUUCUCAUUCCUUCUUCUUUUUGGCAUACAAGACUAAAUGUGUCACACUGGGCGUGCCAAAUCUAUGUUCGAGCGAGGAUUUCUCCGAAGAGGGCUCCUCAGCUCUCAGCACAGCUCCUCAAGAGAUUGGCACUUUGGAUGUAUAGUUGGGCUCAUAGUUGCUAAUGUGCUUGUCGGAAGAUGACAUAGUUAUUUCUGAAAUGUGCCUAUGUGGGGCCUUAGGUGUGUGCCAUGAGGCUCGCAAUCAAAACUAAGUGCUAGGCGUGCCACUGCUAUCUCAGUAUAGUAAAUGUAGAAUAAGAUUGUGUUUAGUCGAUUACUUGCGCCCCAAGUUACUCGGACUUCUUAUUAUCAAAGGAUUGUUGUGGAUGGGUUAAGUCCACAUUAAGUUAUUUUCCUUGCCUUGUGACCAAGGACUUUCAGUUCAUAGUCUUGUAUAUUCGAAUGAGAGGAGUCCAGAUCCCUUAAGUCAUUUGUUUGGUUCUUGAUUGGUUUUAAAUGAAAGCAUAUCCGUUAAGCCGACCAGAUCCAUAUACAAAUAAGACUUUUAAAGUAAGAAAAUAGGUGUAAAUGACUUAAAUACAUGUUGGAGAAUACAUUAAGUAGUAGAUCUAUUAUCUUACAAAACACACAAAGAACUUUAAGCAAGAUUUCACUUUGUCGGGCAAGGUUAAACUUCUUGCAAUCACGUCUCUUUUAGUUUACAGAGGUUUGUAUGCUAAAAAGGGAUGGAUGGUAAACCAGUUUACACAAGGGAAUCGAUACUACGCCACUAAGGGUGAUAGCAGAGCUUCUAAACAAGACGAAAGAUAGCUUUUGUAAGAGAGAUAUCCUGAAAAUGACCAAGAUCUGGGCUGAUUGCAGCUUUUAGAUGCAAAUUUGGCUUGAGAGCAGAGUUUGUAUGUUUGUUUGUUUGAUUGGUUGAGUGUCCUUGUCUCUGGGGCCUCUUACUCCUUUUAUAGGCAAAUUAGCCCGAUUGCACUGACUUUGCUCUUGCCUGAAAGCACUUGGAAGAUAGUGAGUCAUUAGCUUUUUACUUGCAUUGCCACUGAAAAGUACUUUUUGGCUGGUUGUGAGUUAGUACCCAUCACUUGACAUUUAAAUUAUAGGCACCUGGCCUAUGCAUUAAUGGGAAUGCGCCAAUUUGUCUCUGGGCUUGAUGCUUGGGCUUCGGGCAAGUCUUCCUUUAGUUGGUAUCUCACUUGCAGCCCAAUGUUCAAAUAUUAACCCAAACAACACCUACCGACAUUAAGUUUUACCUAGCCCUAUGGAGGAGGUUCUUAACAAUAAAAGGCACGAGUUCGAGGAGGCUUGAGCAAGGAAACUCCAUUAGCCUCAAACCUUUCUUUCAAGAAGGCAGUAAUUAACAACAUACAUAGGAUCGAGUGGGACAAAAUCCUGUUCAAAAAGACUCUUGUUCCUCAAGUGCCAAAGGAACCACACCACAUAUAUUAACCUCAAGCAACUGAGCCCAAUAUUUUGUGGUUUUCAAUGCAUUAACUUCCGAUAAAUUUUUGUGGCUCUCUCACUAUUUAGAGAGCUUAGCACCCAACAUUAUAUAUUUAUGCAUAAUACAGAUGUUUAAUCUUAACGAAAAGGAAGGAACACAAGUAUCAGGAAAACCAAAUUCUAUAUAUUUAUGCAUAAUAUACCGAUACAUGUAUAAGUACAGUACAAACUUCACAGACAACUACAGUUGUCUGUGAUUCAAAUUAAUCUUAGACAUGGCUCUUGAUCGAAGCGCUAUAUUUGUCUUGAUCAUCAUAAUACUUAGACCACAGCAUAACCCCUCCAUACUUAGAAGAACCCUUAAUUGCUGGAAGCACAUAAGAAAUGAGAUCAUUCACAGGAAUGAAUCCACUUCCAGCAGCAUCAGGAGCAGCUGGCAGUCCUAGGAAUAUCUUGGUCGCCUGAAUGUCUGAAAUCCACUGCUUCCAUGCAUUUUCAAGGUUGCUAAGAUCGGAGGAGUAUUGGCAAGGAGGGUUGUUGUAGAAUUGCACCCAAACAUUGUCGAAAAGGCCCGUCUUUAGGGCACCUCCAACCCAAGCAUCAGGGAAAGGGCACUGAGGAGCUGCAGUUAAGUAAACUUUCUUCCCCUUUUUGCUAUAAGCAGAGAGGAACCUUGCUAGGUCAUCCCAAUGUAGGGGUGUUCCUCCCUCGAUAUCGAAAUCAAUUCCAUCUAACGCAGCGGCACCGAGCGGGCGAGAUGAAGAGGUUCCCCCCAAGAAAUUGUUCCACAAAUAAGUUGCUACCUGCCUAGCAUCCUCUUUAGAUGUAAGGUAGUAGCUCCCAGCUCCUCCUCCGAUUGAAAGAAUGACCUUGAUACCUUUCGAUUGGCAUGAUUUAAUGUCGGAGCUCAGACCAGUGCAGCCAUUCGUGUACGGAUCACAGUGCCCGGCUAGGUUGAUCAUGGGGGUCUGGCCAUUGCCAAAAGUUGGUAGGAAAGCUAUGAUAACAUACUCAUAGUUGCCUGUGGCACAAGUUUCCUCUAAUGUACCCUCAUUCCCAUUUUGUCCCCAGUAAAUGGCAAUGCCUGCAGCUUCAGCUCCAAAUUGUAUUGAUAGGCUUACUGAAAUGAGGAGUGCUAAAUAAAUUGCUAACUUUGGUGGUGCCAUUCUGCACUAGAAAAUUUGCUUAGCUAGCUCCAAUGUUUUUCUUGUUACUACUUGCUUCUAGUAUUUAGAGAAAACAUUGUCUAUUUAUAAGAGAAAUUUGACUCCAUAGUGAUUGCAACACCUUGUGCUUUUGUGGAAGAUUGCGUGGCUGAUAAGUCACUUAUUACCAUUGUAUCAAAUUACAAUAUUGCGGAUUAACGCAGACGGCAUAUAUUAGAUUAGAGUAAAUCUCACAUAUUUGCGGCAUCAUAUAUAUGUAGCAUCAGCUUCUGCGUAAAGGUACCUAAUGUUUUUGGUUAGACUAGACUUUUCUUGUUAGACAAAUAUUUAUAUUGGUGAAAUAUGAAUUUAAACGAAACAAUAAUAAAAAUUCAGUCACGGUGUUGCUAGACACUUUGUCAAGAACAUAUUUCUCAGUUUUCGGUGUCUUCUAUAUGUCUCUUUGUGAUGGAAAUGGUUGUGGAUUAACGCAAACGGAUGCUUCAAAAAAUAAAAUAAAUGUCCAAAAUAAUCCAAUAUCGCCUGCAAAUUUGUUAUAUUGUACCUUUUCCAGGAAUACUAUUCUGUCUCUACGUUUUGGGAAUAAUGUCAAAUUGUAAAAUCUAAUAACUCUCUUAUGAAGCAAAUGCAACUCCUGUCUAGGUCGUAAUUAACAAGUUUACUAUAUAUAAUAUUUCACCGGCAUUUGUACUUAUAGAGAGAUUUUUUAAGGUAGAACUCGAAUUUAAGUUUUGACUUAGCAAAGAGAAUGAUACUUACCAACUCAGUCAAUCCUCGUUGGCCACAUAAUCCAAUAUUGCCUAUACAUAACAUCCCAUGUACUUUUUCCACGAAUAUAUUCUAUUUUUUUUGUUAGUUGAUAUUGCGACAACGAAAUACAACUUUCUCACGCCUUUUAUAUUUUGUGACGAGGUAUUGAAAUAGAUGUCACACUCUAUUUACCUUUGGCAGAAGUGCUCACCAAACCAAACCUUCGCCUUGUAAAAGGAAUAACCCUUCCGCCGGUCGUAUGACUUUGACAUGUCAAUCUUUAACACCAUAUCACUUGUCUUUUCUCCCCACACCCGUUUUGUUUUUUAGAGUGAAAAAAUUCAUGUAGAUUCAAUACUAUAUUAUCAAGACAAAGGUUGAAUGGUAACACUCUGUUUUUUAAAGAUUGAAACGACCCUGAAUGAUCAAAAUCCAUUACAUAUCAUGGCAAAGCCAUGAGUUUGAUUCGUGAUGUUGUUCUCUCUUCAAAAAGGUAUCACGAGCCCAAUUUAAAGCUCGGACACCAAAUAAACAAAUGCCUACUACGUUCUUUUGUCUCCCAACGGUCCAUCUCAUUUUCGAUUCAUUUUGGUAUUUGUUCUAUAUCAUGGAAUAUUUAGCACACAAUAGUAAGUCCAAAAAGAGAAUUUGCAUAGGGAAUAUUUAGCAUACAUAUCAAAUUCACUCUCUUCGAUACUUCUUCAGGAAUUCGAAUAUUUUGCGUAAUUAUUACUAAAGUGGACGAAUAUGUCAAGCAUGUUCCGAUUGGAUUAUAUUCCGAUGUUUUCAAGAUAAGUUGAUAGCGUAAUACUAUUAAGACUAAAUUUGCAAAUUAAAUAAUGUAGCACCAAUAGGAAUGAGCAAGUUUAUGAACGUUUAAGUAAUAAACCAAUUAUUAACUUUUAUUUCCUUUAAUUUCUAAAAUUUAAUCUACAAAUUUAGUUUCCCUAGCAUUAUCCUAUGUUGAUAAAAUAUUAAGAAACAAAGAAGAAAAUAUGUCUGGUGUAGCAUACAUGCUGCAUUUGUCCUAACUCACAGCAAUGAUCAGUCUUAACGUACCUCAAUCAAAUGGACAAAUAUUACCAUUAAAAAAACAAAACAAAAAAAACAAAACAAAAAAAAACAAAACAAAAAGCAUCCAUGUUAUCCAAUCACCGAUGUCCAAAUAAGGAAUAUAUAAUCCCAACACGUAUAUGAUUAUAAUUAAGGUAAAUGUGGGAAAACCACAAAUUAAUUAAGCAAUGCACCUCCUAUAUAUAACCCCAAGUGAAAUUCUAAAUCUCAAUUAGCAAGGCCGCAAGGCUUGUCUAAAUCAAUCUAUACUCUUUUGUUCAUCUUUGUUUUCUUUGGCUAAUCUCUUUUUUUUUUUUUUUUAAUUUCUUCGUCUCCAUCUUUGAAAUGUCGGGGUUGGUGGACAAGGCCAAAAACUAUGUCGCAGAAAAGAUAGCAAAUGUGCCGAAGCCUGAUGCAAGUCUCACAGGUGUUGAUUUCAAGAAAGUGAGUUUUGACUCUGCGGAUUACAUUGCAAAGGUCGCUGUGAACAAUCCCUACCCACAUCCUCUCCCCAUCUGCGAGAUCAAAUACACCCUCAAAAGCAUUGGCAAGUUAGUUUUCACCUCUCACCUUUACGUUUGUUUUUUUUUUCAGUACUAGUGAUUUUUUGAAAUCAACGAAUGUGAUAAAACCGAAACCUCUUUAUGAAGUUGUAAAUUUUCUAAUUCUACAAAUCAAACCAACUAGAGGACUUCGGAUUUGAAAUAUGAGAUCACAAUCGAACCCUAAUCUAUCAACAAAUGAGAUCAAAGCUGAAACCCUGUUGAAAUGAGCUUGGAUUUGAAACUGGACAUUCUUUUGAGUAAAGUUGUACGUGAGUCUUCAAUUUGAUCCGCACAUUCAAAAUUUAAUGGUAGAUAAGCUUACGGAAAAUUGUAAAAUGACUAUUAUUUGAUUUAGAAAAGGAACCUCUGCAUACCCACUUUUUCUUCGUUUUCAUGCAUGCCUUUAUUUAUUUCGAAAUUUUAGAUUGAAUAAAUCAAAAAGACUUGAUAGACUUGUGUAGAAAGAGAAAAAAGUGCGGGAAAUAUUUUUCUUGAUUUGAAAUUGUCCAUUCAAACAUUUGCGUAUUGUAUAUUGAUUUUUUUUUCUUCUGAUUUGUAUGUAUACAUGUGAAUUAGUGUUAUUGCGUCUGGGAACAUGCCAGACCCUGGCUCGAUAAAGGCAAGUGGCACUACUGUAUUAGAGGUGCCGGUGAAGGUGCCGCAUAGUAUUAUUGUGACAUUGGUAAAGGACAUUGCUAGGGAUUGGGACAUCGACUAUGAGUUGGAUUUGGGUCUCAUCAUUGACCUUCCUCUAGUUGGAAACAUUACCAUACCACUCAAUAGGAAGGGCGAAAUCAAGCUUCCCACCUUAUCUGAAGUCAUUUGGGGUUCAAAGGAUGAAGCUGCGAAGGAGGAAGCUUUAAAACAGGCUUCCAAAGAGACUAAAAAGGAGAUUUCAAAGUAAAUAUGACUACAUUAAAAAAUGGAAAAAAGUUGAAAGUCGAAUUCUCAUCAUAAAUGUAAGAGCACAUAGUUUAUCUUAAGAAAAAGAAAGGUAAAAAUCGAAUUCUUGUCCUGAAUAUGUAAGAGCAGUUUGGUUAAUUAUGUUAUGUGCUUAGGUUUGAGAUUAAAAAGAAUUUUGAUUUGACUUGUACCAUGUGGAUGAGCAUUUUCUUCCCGGCAUUGAAUUGGUUAAUUUCAUGCGGUACCCUUUCAUCUUUUCCUUGUAAUUAAUUUUGCUUCAGAAGUACUUUUUGUUUUAUAUUCAUGCAUUUAUCUUUUUGCUUCAUGAUUCUAAGUCUUCUUAAUAUUUAAAACAAAAUGAUUUUCACACUUUUUUUUUACCUUUAGGUAGGAUUUCUUUAUUAAUUCUGUUAUUUCAUCUCUUUCAUCCAAUAACUAGAAAGAAAGCUUAGAAUACAAAAAAAUUAAAGAGGAUGCAGUAAUUCGUAGUUCAUAAAUAUAAAAUCAUCUCCAGCUUGCUACUUUUAUAUUGGUGGUGAUGUUCUAAGCGAUGUGACUAAUUCAGAGUUCAUAUUUUUGGUUUAUUCAUCUUUAUCUGCUUAUUGUUUUGGUUCUAGUCAAUCCCUACAAACCGAUCGACAAGAGAAAGAAAAGAGAGAAAAAUAAGAUGUUUUAUUUGAUGCCCCCAUCAAGACUCAUCUUUCAUUUUGCAUUUUUUUUUCUUUUUUUAAUAAACGAUAUUAUUUACAUAAGGGGAAGAACAAUGGCACUAGUACAAAAAACACUUUGCACGACGCAGGUCAUUUGAUGUGCAAAAGUUAGCCCAACAAACCUUCGUCACGCACCAACCGUCGCGCCAAGGCAAUGAUAGAAGGGUUUGCACGACGUACAACCUACGUCGCGCAAACCCCUUAGAUCAGUCUUCGUCGCACAGACCCUUAUUUUUAUUUUUUUUGGCAAAAAUAUUUUAUAUUUAAUUUUUAAUAAAUAUUAUAAUUAAAUUCUAAACAAUAAUUAAUAAACCAAGAAAAAAUAUUUAAUUAUAAAAUAUAUGAAAAUGUACAUACAAGAUGUUCAAACAAAAAAGAAAAAACUACAAGUAGUCUUAUAGAUUUAAUACAUCAUGCUACUAGGUAUCGACUGGACGAAGUGGCUAGGAGGUCGAAGGUGGAGCACGAUUAGGUGCUGGUAUCGAGAUUUGGGCCAAACAUCGCUAAGGCCCGUACAAUCAUACUCAUCAGCUCGCCCUGGGCCGCAAGCUAACCUUUUAGAGUUGUCACUUCCUCCUUCAAGGCAUUGACCUCUCAUGUGGACGAUCUAGAAGAGGAGACACCCGUCUCACGAACCCCUGCCUUCCCCAUACAUCGAACAACCUUGACAUGACGACGACCGAACUUCUUAUCCAAGACCUCAGUCACGAUUUGAAGACCUGCAUCCUCGGGUACAAUGACGUCCUCGAUUGGGGUCUCCGGGGGAAGUUGAUAAUGAGGAAGGCACAUUGGUCACACUCCGACGACGAGUGAUCAACUAUGACAUCUAUACACUUUUUGAACCAUAAAAAUAUAACAUUACAAACUAAUCCUUUCUUGCAUUUGAAACUAAUCAAUUAGCAGCCAAAGUAAUAUCAUAUCCUUUCUUGCAUUUGUUCACAUAUAUAAGGCAGUAUUGCAAAGGUAGAAACAAUACUUGAUGCAUAGAAAAGUAAGAAAUGUUAUUAGCAUGAAAAGUAAUUAGAUUCAAAUGCAGUUGCACCAUCCUAAAAUUCCUUCUUAAAAACCAUUUGCAAUGCAUGGCUUUAAACGUCAAUACCUCUCAACCACAUAUAUCUACACCUACAUGCCAAACCCUCUUAAGCGACCCCCUUGAUAGUUGAAGAAAUGUUCAGGAAUCAGUCGUUGUUCACUAGUAAUGUUCGAAGCAAGAAACAUGAGAAAGCAAAGCACUAGCAAUUUGGAGGGAUAUACAACUCAGAGAAGACCAAGUAAUAAUAAAUUAGAGCAACUGAAAACAUGAGAGGACUCCAGGACGUACCAAACUUUUGGAUGGGAAAGUAUUACUUUGCAAGACAAAUAUCCUUGUGGUAAAGCAAACCCUCUUCAUUCUAAAUAUGAGCUGCCAUGUGAUAGAACGUAAGAAAUGAGCCAUUUCUCACUUAGACUCCAAUAAGUUUCCAACCUUUUUUGAAUGUUUUUUCUUUCCAAUGGAAUUAUUCUUGGCAUAGUAGAAGCUUUCAUGUUAUGGAUUCUCAUUCAACAGCAAAUGUUGUGCUUAAUGUAUAUGUAAGUGUCAUUGUCUUUUGCUUUGCAUUUAUAUAAUUGAGUAGGUAAUUAGGUACAGUAACUUAUUAACCUUAUAUAGGAUAACGUGGGGGUGAAAAUGGCAAAGAGAUUUAAGAGAAUGGUUCUUGUUUCAACUUUGGUAUAUAAAUCUAAUGCAUAAAUCUUACUGAAGGCCACCUAAGUAUUUCAUUUGCUCUUAUUUGGAAAGUGGGGCUAAGCUUUCUUUUGUUCACUUGCAUGUUAUGCAUGCACUUAUGCAGUCAGCAAUUUUAUGUACAUAUGUCGAUCACUUUUACCUAGUAAAGUCGUUAUAUUUGCUAUGAUUUCACUAUGUUGUUUUGUUAAAAGAAAAAAAUAUCUUCAAUUUAAUCAUGGAGUACAUUAAAGUGAGGCAAAUACAUUUCCUGGUUGAUUCCGUAUUCUUGAUUGCAUCCGUGAAAGUUCGAGAUUGAUGGUUCGAGCUUGCUUCUUCUCCAGAGUUUUCUUGGUCAUCAAUACGACCUGUCCCAUAGAGUGUGGUACAGGUGUCACCAGUCCCAGACAGAUUUGUUUAUGAUCUCGUCAACUCGGAACUCAUAGCUGCUAGCAACUCCUAGCUACAACUAGAACUCCUUAGCUACUAAAACAAGUAUCAUGCAUAUAUAUAGACCAAUCAUGAAAUUACAUCGAGUCUUUUAGUGUGUAAGGUAAGUUUUAAGGAACCCGUGUUCAGUAAUUUUGCCCAUUUUACUGUUUAUAGAAUCAAAGAACACAACCCUUAACUGGUUGUCUGAAUCCCACAAAGCAAAACAGAGACAUGUCAGUACAAACAAAGAUUUCAUAACGCUAAAUCCUCAUACAAGUGAUUCAAGUAAAAAAGUUACAGGAGUUUCGCCCUUUUGGACAGGCGGAUUAUACUCAGGAUCUCCAGGCUCCGCAAACUUACUCACAAAUUGCACUACCCCUUCAUUAUCCAAAAAUAAACAAAAACCAAUCAACCCCCAUUUAAGAUGGUUAACAGCUACAAGUACAGAUACAAGUACAAAAUUAACAGCUACAAGAUAGAAAUUAAUACCAAAUUGAAACCAAUCAACCCCCAUUUAAGAUGGUUAACAGACCUGUCAAAGGUGGGCACUUUUUCUUCUCCGGAGGCGGUUUGAAAUCCAACGGUGGUCGAGGCUCAAACAGCUUCAAAAGAUUGGUUGUUAGCCCAGUGGGGUGGCUCUCUGCCCAUCUGUAAACGAAAUGGUGCAAAGAAAAGCAUUUUAGGAGUAGUGUGAUGAGAAAAAAAAGAUGGUGCAAACAAAAGCAUCCAAUCCCCUAAUAGAAUGACACCUCAAUAGUUGGAACACACCUCACGACUAGCAAAGUAGUCGAAAGAUGAUUUACCAAUACCAGAAAAUUUUUAUGCAUAAGUACAAAAUUCAUAACCGGAACAAUCACGAAACCUAGCAAUGUAAUGUAGGAAGAAAAAUACAACGAAAUGUCACAUUGGAUAUGAAGUACGAGGAUGGAUUAGUCGGGGAUAGAACGACAAUUGGAAUAAAUAUUUUCAUCAUAAAAUUGAAAUUCUGGAAAGCCCUUUCCAGUUACAACAGCAAAACCUCCAACUAAAACCCUAAUAUUCUCAUCUCUCAUGUCUCAUAUUUCCAUAUGUAUUUUUCUUAAUUAUAAACACUAUACAAAUUGGAUUCAAUAUCGAAUUGUGUUGUAAUGAAAAUUACAGAAAACCCAACAUUUCCUACAACAAUCGAACAAAUAUCAUAACAUUAUGAUUCUCAACAAUUUCUAUCCUAAGCCAUAAGCCCAAUAAUAACACCCCAAAAAAUAAAAUAAAACAAAAAAAAUUCCCCAAAUUAACAUAUAGAUAUGACAAAAUCAAAGUGACACCAUCAGGCAAUUUCCAACAAUUCACAGAAACCGUAGAUAAAAUAUUCCCAAUUUGCCAUUGGAUUUGUAGAUAAAAUAUUUCCAAAUUAACAUGGAUAAAACUGUCAAACUUGUUUGUAUAUACUUCGAGAUCGUAUAGGCCAAAACUCGUAAAAAAAAAACAUUCAGAAAUCAAGUGACGGGACAAAAAUUUUCGACGAUUAUAAACAAAAAUCAUGAUUUAACGGUUAUUUUAACUCCAAUUUUGAUGAUUUUUUUACAGCUACACUCCUUGACCCUAUAAGAAUACAAUGAAUGAACUUGAUCUUCAAUUUAAAAUAUUUACACUAGUGGAUACCACAAAAUCUUAUGUUAUACUUAAUGAAAGUAUAAAUAAACUCUUUAAAUGUUAGUGAAUCUAUUGUUUUGAUGGGAUACACAUUCUACGAAACUAAUUUCAACGAUCCAACCGUCAAACUUGUUUGUAUAUGCUUCGAGAUCGCAUAUGCCAAAAAUCGCAAAAAACAAACAUUCAGAGAUCAAGUAACUGGACAAAACUUUUUGACGAUUAUAAACGAAAAAUCAUGAUUUAACGGUUAUUUUAACUCCGAUUUUCAUGAUUUUUUACAGCUACACUCCUUAACCCUAUAUGAAUACAAUGAAUGAACUCGAUCUUCAAUUUAAAAUAUUUACACUAGUGGAUACCACAAAAUCUUAUGUUAUACUUAAUGUAAGUAUAAAUAAACUCUUUAAAUGUUAGUGAAUCUAUUAUUUUGAUGGGAUACGCAUUCUACGAAACUAAUUUCAACGAUCCAACUGUCAAACUUAUUUGUAUAUGCUUCGAGAUCGCAUACGCAAAAAAUCUCAAAAAACAAAUAUUUAGAGAUCAAGUAACGGGACAAAACUUUUCGACGGUUAUAAACGAAAAAUCACGAUUUAACGGUUAUUUUAACUCUGAUUUUGAUGGAUUUUUACAGCUACACUCCUUGACCCUAUAUGAAUACAAUGAAUGAACUCAAUCUUCAAUUUAAAAUAUUUACACUGGUGGAUACCACAAAAUCUUAUGUUAUACUUAUGAAGGAAAUUUUGUGAAAAACAUUUUCAUUUGAGCAACAUCUAUGGCAUGGAAUUAACAUUUAAAGGCGGAAUCAUGCUUGUAUGCACUCAAAAACAAAACAUUACCAUGAAAUUCAAAGCCUAGUAGAAAGGUGAACCAAGACUCAACUCAAGAACAAAGUGAGUUGAGAUAUUUUAUACCUUUGUUGAUUCCUCGUUGCAUAAGCAAAGGCCAAUCACCCAAGGACAGGGCCUUCAUUCCUUACUUCUUAGUUCCAUCGAUUUCUUGGAGGAGGAUGGUAGAAAGGAUUCUCCAAGUUCCCAAAAUUGAGAACCUCUAAUUUUUCCACACCAAGGAGGGACUUGAAGAAGAGAUGAGUGACCUUGGAGGAUGAGAGAUUGCUAGCUAAUCUCCUCCAAAGGGGCCGGUCUCUUAGAGAGAAAAUGAGAGCAUUGUGUUCUCUUCCUUUCCCCAAAAGAAAACCCUAAGGAUGAAAUGGCUAUAAAGUUGCCUUUAUACCACCUCACAAUGGAGUGGCAAACUUGCAAUUAAAGCAAGCUCACUACCCUCCUCUAUUUGGCCGGCCUUAAGGGUUUAUUGAGCUUUCAAGCCCUUUAUUUAUUCAAGUUGUCAUACAAGUUGAGUUAAUGGGCUUGACAUUCAAAUCCCAUUGGGCCUUGCGGCCUAAAACUAACCCGAGGUCUUUAACUUCGUUUGAUUAAUUAACAUAUUAAUUAAUCAUUGCCAUAAAUAAUUAAACCAUUUAAUUAUCCUUACUCAUCUCCGUUGUUUCUUCAAUCUUUACCUUACACGGUGUACGAUCCAUUAGGUUCCUUUUAGCGAGGCAGCGGGCGAUUAGAACUCUUUCAAAUCGAUUGUGAAUUGAAACUUACUUUCAAUUCUCCCUUUAGUGAUUAUACACGUUUAGGGCUUCCACAAACCAUAAGUGACACCUAGCAGUAUGUCAUGGUUACCCAAGCUAAUAAGAAGAGGUGGAUAACCUAUUCAGUUUAGGAUUACAAUGCAAUACGGUCUUUUCUCUAAUACAAUACUCUUGACCACAUUGUUUGGUUUGAUAGUUUAAUCAUGUCUACUAUCCAAUGUGAUUCAUUUACUUAUAUGAUUACCUUGAAUGUGAUUUGGAACGACUUCCUAAAUCUCAUUCAUACUCUGGCCAGAGAUUCUUAAUCAUAUCAUAGAGUAUUCUCCCUCAAACGGUUUGAAGGUUAGAGAUCCCUUGUUGCGCAUUCACUUGCCUCCAUGGCUAAGUGACUUAACCCCAACUAUGUCGUGGACACCCUCUAACAAAGUGACUUUGACAUAGUCAAAGAUCAAGGAUCUAACCACAAAACAACUAUGAUACCUCAGGUUAAAGGACUACUUUGCAUUAUCCCAACCAUGAGUUCUCAUGUGACAAGAGUAUGAGAACUCCUCGUUGAUCGUGUUCAGUGGACUCAUUCUCUAUUGAGCACCUACAUGCUUGUCUUGAUGUCAAUCACACCAAUGACUCGAGACCAGUCACUUUCCCUGAAAGAAGACACAACACGUACUGAUCUUAACGGACUGUCAAUGCCCAAUUGGCAAUCCUAUGAUCAGGAACGUUUAGGAUAUGUAUACGAAAGAGAAUGGUCUCAUGAAUCUAACUUCUUUAAAUUACAUUCUCCUAAUUACAUAUUCCUUGGACUUAUCGUUUAAGCAUAUAACAUUUAUAUGAGACGGCUUAAAACAAUAAUCUUUGCCUAGAUAUUAAACUAGAUUAGUUUAACAUGUGAAAUGUCCGUAAAGUAUCAUCAUACGAUUGGUUUUAGGGCACAUUUCCAACAACUUAAUGAAAGUAUAAAUAAACUCUUUAAAUGUUCGUGAAUCUAUUGUUUUGAUGGGAUACGCAUUCUACGAAACUAAUUUCAACGAUCCAACUGUCAAACUUGUUUGUAUAUGCUUCGAGAUCGCAUAUGCCAAAAAUCGCAAAAAACAAACAUUCAGAUAUCAAGUAACGGGACAAAAUCUUUCGACAGUUAUAAACGAAAAAUCACGAUUUAACGAUUAUUUUAACUCCGAUUUGGAUGAUUUUUUACAGCUACACUCCUUCAUCUUAUAUGAAUACAAUGAACUAAUUUGAUCGUCGAUUUAAAGUAUUUACACUAGUAGAUACCGCAUAAAUCUUAUGUUAUACUUAAUGAAAGUAUAAAUAAACUCUUAAGUGUUAGUAAAUCUAUUGUUUUGAUGGGACAGGCAUUCUACGAAACUAGUUUCAACGAUCCAACCGAAACAUGUUUGUAUAUACUUCGAGAUCGCAUACGCCAAAAAUCGCAAAAAAUAAACAUUCAGAGAUUAAGAAACGGGACAAAACUUUUCGAUGGUUAUAAAAGAAAAAUCACGAUUUGACGAUUAUUUUAACUCCGAUUUUGAUGAUUUUUUACAGCUACAUUCCUGAUCCUAUAUGAAUAUAAGGAACUAAUUUGAUCGUCAAUUUAAAAUAUUUACACAAGUAGAUACCAUAAAAUCUUAUGUUAUACCACAAAGUCAUUGACUUUGCGCGAUGAAGGUGUGCAUUCGUCUUGCAAAAUAGUUUUGCAUGACGAUGACUGCCGUCUUGCAAGAUUUUGGCGCCAAACCAAGACUUUUACUGCAUUUUUCCCAACACUGCGUGACAAAGGUGGUAUUUCAUCACUCAAAGUUCCAUAGCGCAAAAUGCCUUUGUGUGACGUUUUGUUGUUACCAUUGCGCAAACAUACUUUGCGCGAUGCAAUUUGCUCCGUCGCGCAAAUAUGUUUUUGUACUAGUCUCACUCUUUUUAAUAGGUAAAAUUAAUAAAGAUUACUUCAAAAUUCAAUCUCACAAAACUCCACCAUUACCAAAAAAGGGCAUAGCAAGUAGGCAAAGGUACAUAUACAAAAAUCUCAUAUGCAAUAUGAGGAAAAAUGACACCCCUCGAUAUUAGAAUCAAGGUGUGCUGGUCGUCACGUGAGCGUGACGUAACCAAAAGUGCGAUGCGGAAGCAAAAGAUAUGAGAAAUACGAAGGAAUAAAAUCAACUACUAGAAAUAAUAUCCAACUAGCAUGCUAGAGUGAGUUUAAGUGUAAAACACACAAAUUCAGAGCAUAAGUACUAGGUGCAGUCAAGUAGGACCAUAUCUAAGUUACAACACCCGCAGGUGAGUCCUACAUUUAUGUAGUCUGUCAGUACGCCGUGGGAAUCCUCAUGGGGCACCAAUGCUGUUAUCUAGAACCUAGAGGGGCGCAAAACAAAAUUGAGUGGGUCAGUAAAACCAAAGUUUUCCAAAAACAUUUCAUUUAAAACAUUUCUAACCCCUCAGUGUAAAACCUGUAUACUUUCCCAGAAAAUAACAUAAUAGCAUAAUAUUUGUUCAUAUCUCUCAAAACAUCAAUCUUUAUCAAAAUCCAGCAAGUAUGCCAUGCUAUAAAUAUCAAUGACAGAAUAUGGAUGCAUCAAUAUAACAGGUGACAUGAUGAAUCAACCGGAGACCCUGCAGUUGGUCCUGUACGGUUAAUUCUAUAGCUCAAUAUCCAAACCAGCCGGAGUCACCACGGUGACCUGUACGGCGCUACUCUGCACAUAAGUCGGAACUACCUGAAGUAGUCUGUAUGACAAGAAAGGUGUAAGAAUACGCUCUAGUGCUUCUCUCAUCAGUCAUCUGCACGCAUAAUCUAAGGUCACCUACCUGUCUGAACCACCUCUAGUGAUCUAUAUGACUAGCAUGUCAGAACCUUCUUCAUGGUCUAUACGACAUGCACCUACUUGGAUCCAAGGUGAGCGUGCGGUGCGGUGAAUACUAUAAGCACUAACACCGGGGUGCAGGUUAUGAGCUCUCAACACAAUUCACAUCAUCAAUGAUUCACAUGAAUAACAUAAAACUCACCUGAUACUCACAUGUGCAUCCACAACACCAAUUCACAUAUAUAUAUAUAUAUAUAUAUAUAUAUAUAUAUAUGCAUCAAUUAUCAAUUCAUAAAAUUCAUAAUAUGCAUGCAUGGCAUUUGAAAAACAUACUUUCAUUUAAAUUCAAUUUCUGGGAAAAUCAAUAGUAUAUAGGUAAAUACAGAAAAUAACUGCCCAUUCACUGAUAAGUCGAAGGGUCGUAGCCCCCGUGACGUCCCUGGAUGCCCUCGUCCUCGGGAUAGGUAUCACCUAUAUGCGAAACAACUAAAACAACGUUAUUUAAAGCACAUAACCGACAAUUCGUAAAACUUCUCAUACGAUGCUCAAUUUGGGUAUAUGAAUAUACCACAGUGACCUACUCGAUGUCACGGACGUCGACAUAUUUUUAAAAUAAUUGUUGGGCUUGUCACGCGCCCCCACGCACCGGGACAGGCAUGGGUCCACGCGCCCCCCACGCGCAUCAUCCCCUACCUCCAAUCGACGGGAAAACUCGCCGGCGCCAGAAACUGGACAGACCUGUAAUCGGUCUUUUCUCGCUCAAUUCUCAACCAUUUUCCAUGAAAUUUUCACCAAAACUUCACAAAUUACGAGAGGAAGAAGGCUAUACCUUUAAAAACCUCCAAAACCUUCGAAAUCACGUCGGGAAAUUUCACCAAAACCAUCCACCUUUGAACCUUGUGAUCCCGACGUCCAAAACUUUCAAAUGAACGUCCCCGAGCUUCGUGAGAACCUCCUAAAGCUCACUUUGAGCUUGGAUUGUCCUAAAAACGAACCAAUACAAAGUUCAUGAACAGUGCCAAACUCGAUGCUUGUGAUUUCGACGUGAAAUCGAAAGAUUUCUUACCUGAAAUGGGUGUGGUUGAGUUCGUAGAGUCCUCACGAGCACGAUGGUACCUUCAAAACCUUCGAUCCGUGCUUGGAGGCUCGAUGGUGAGUGUGUCCGUACGGUUUAGGGAGGGAGAGAGUGAACUAGGAAGAGGAGAGAGAGAGAGAGAGAGCACGGGGGAGAAAGAGGGAAGAUGUCCCGUGUGGUCCAACCAAAACAAUCCAAAAAUCCAAAUUCCUUUAAUCCUUAACCACAUAAAAUACAAACCAAUUUUAAUCCAACUUAAAUUAUUUUUUCCAAAAGUUUAGGAAUGUAUGUAUUUAGUCCAAUAAUAUGUCACACACACAUACCUUAGCACCCGUCAAGGGUAAUUUCGUCAUUUCACGUCCUCGAUAAAUAAAAUCCCGGGACGGGCUGUGACAAUCUACCCUCCUUAUAGAAUUUCGUCCUCGAAAUUCAUACAACCAAUCAACCACUUAAUACUCAUAAAACAACCUCGGAUACAUCUCUCUCAUUCAAUCUUCUAUCUCCCAAGUAGCUUCUUCCACUGAAUGGUUCCUCCACAAUACUUUUACUAAGCUCACUGUCUUAUUCCUUAGAACCUUGUCUUUCCAAUCCAAGAUAGUCACUGGUUCUUCAUCAUACGUCAAAUUCGGAUUAAUCUCCAAAGGUUGAGGAGGAAUCACAGGUGAAGGGUCUGAAACAUAAUGUUGAAGCAUCGAGACAUGAAACACAUUAUGUACCUUAGAUAACUCCGGAGGCAACUCCAAUCUGUAAGCAACUUCACCAAUCCUCUCAGUGAUCUCAUAAGGUCCUAUGUACCUAGGACUUAGCUUGCCUAUCUUUCCAAAACGCACUACACCUCUCCAAGGUGACAAUUUCAAGAAUACCAAAUUACCCACAUCAUAAACUCGAUCAAUAACAUGUCUAUCUGCUAAACUCUUUUGUCGAUCCUGGGCUGCUUUCAGGUUAGACUUAAUCACCUGAACAUUUUGAGUAGUCUUAUCCACAAUCUUUGGGCCUUCAAGCACUCUUUCGCCAACCUCUGACUAACACAAUGGCGUACGACAAACUCUACCAUAAAGUGCCUCAAAUGGUGACAUACCAAUACUUGAAUGAAAACUAUUAUUGUAGGCAAAUUCCAUCAAAUGUAGGCGAUCAUGCCAAGAAUCACCAAACUGUAACACUGAAGAUCUCAACAUAUCCUCCAACGUCUGAAUAGUCCUCGCUGAUUGUCCAUCGGUUUGAGGAUGAAAAACAGUGCUGUAAAGCAAUUUCGUACCAAGAGCUUCCUGAAAAGCUAUAAAAAACUUAGAAGUAAAUCUUGGAUCUUGAUCAGAAAUAAUAUUCACUAGAACUCCAUGAUACUUCACAAUCUUCGUGAUGAACAACUUAGCCAAUUUAUUCAGAGGAUAUUUUUCCUUCACUGGAAUGAAGUGUGCUAACUUAGUAAGCUGAUCUAGAAUCACCCAAACACCAUCAAAUCCAUUUCGUGUAAGCGGAAGCUUAUACCCAAAAUCCAUAGUUAUAUUUUCCCAUUUCCAUUGAGGAACGGGAAGUGGUUGCAUCCGACCAAAAGGCUUCUUUCUUUCAGCUUUGACUUGCUGACAAACAAUGCACCUACUUACAUACUCUGCAAUUUCCCUCUUCAUACCCGACCAAUAAUAAAAUGGUCGAAUGGUAUGGUACAUCUCAGUCCCUCCUAGAUGCAUCGCAUAAGCCGAACAAUGUGCUUCAUCCAAAAUUUCCUUCUUUAAUUCCUCAUUAUUCGGCACAUACAUUAUGUUCUCCUGCAUAAGCAUGCCAUCUGAUUCUCGAAUCCUGAGGUCUUUCUUUUUCCCUUCAUUUCUCAAUUGAAUCAUUUCUUGGAUUUCUUCAUCAACCAUUUGAGCUUCAAGUAUACGAUCAACCAAAACUGGCCUGACUUGGAAACUAGCAAGAAAAGCUUAUCUUCGUUCUUCUAACUCCAACCAUACUCCAGUAGCUCUCAAAUCUACAAGAAGAGGAACACGAAAAGCAUACAAAGCAUUGAGUCGAUCUUGAGGUUUCCUACUCAGUGCAUCAGCUACCACAUUUGCACGACCCGGAUGAGACUCAAUAGUGCAGUCAUAAUCACUUAGUAACUCCAUCCAGCUUCGUUGACGAAGAUUAAGAUCAUGUUGAGUGAAAAGAUACUGAAGACUCUUAUGAUCUAUGAAGAUUUUACACUUCUCACCAUAGAGAUAAUGCCUCCAAAUCUUCAAAGCAAAGACAAUAGCUACCAACUCAAGAUCGUGAGUAGGAUAAUUCCUUUCAUGAAUCUUCAAUUGUCGAGAAGCAUAAGCAAUCACUCUAUUAUGUUGCAUCAAAACACAUCCCAAACCAUUCAAAGAAGCAUCACUAUAAAUCUCAAAGUUACCGUUAUCAUCAGGAAGUACAAAUACUGGAGCAUGAGUGAGGCAAUAUUUCAACUGCUGGAAACUUUGCUCACAAUUCUCAUCCCAAUCAAACUUAACAUCUUUCCUGGUUAACUUCGUUAAUGGCAAAGCAAUCAUAGAAAAAUCUUGAACAAAUCGUCGAUAAUAACCUGCUAGCCCCAGAAAACUCCGUACCUCAGUGACGGUUCGUGGUUGUUCCCAAUUCUCUACUACUGUUAUCUUUUGAGGAUCUACUUGAAUUCCUUGUGCCGAUACUACAUGCCCCAAAAAUGCCACUCCAUUCAACCAAAACUGACAUUUACUGAACUUGGCAUACAACUGAUGCUCCCUCAAUUUCUUUAAUACCAAGUUAAGAUGUCGAAUAUGAUAUGCUUUAGACUUAGAGUAUACCAGAAUAUCAUCGAUAAAAACAAUGACAAAUCUAUCAAGAUAUUGCUGGAAUACCUCAUUCAUUAGCCUCAUGAAAGCUGCAGGUGCGUUAGUCAAUCCAAAUGGCAUCACCAAAAACUCAUAAUGUUCAUAACGGGUCCUGAAAGCCGUCUUAGGUACAUCAUCUUCUUUAAUCUUUAACUGAUAAUAACCAGAUCUCAAAUCAAUCUUAGAGAACACACACGCACCUUUAAGCUGAUCAAACAAAUCAUCGAUACGAGGCAAGGGAUAAUGGUUUUUAAUCAUUACCCGGUUCAAUUGCCUGUAAUCAAUACAUAAUUUCAAAGUUCCAUCUUUCUUUCUCACAAACAACACCGGAGCUCCCCAAGGUGAAGUACUAGGUUGAAUGAAACCCUUAUCAGUUAAUUCCUGUAACUGAAUUUUCAACUCUCUCAAUUCAGCUGGAGUCAUUCUAUAUGGAGUCAAAGAUAUAGGAUCCGUACCUGGAAGCAAAUCAAUAGAAAACUCCACAUCUCUGUCUGGCGGCAAUCCAGGCAAAUCGUCUAGAAUACAUCAGGAUAGUGUCUGACUACUCCAACUUCCUCCACACUGCUAGGAAUAACAUCAUUUAACACCACAUGUGUUAAGUAUCCUUGACAACCUUUCGAUAACAAUUUUUUUGCUCUCAUGGCAGAAAUAACACCAUGUCUCACCCCACUGCUUUCACCCACAAAAGUAACCUCUGGUAAUCCAGGACGAUGAAAAGUAACAGAUUUCCCGUAACAAUCUAUAUGGGCCCGAUUAAAAUGCAACCAAUCUACCCCUAGAAUCACAUCAAAAUCCACAAUAUCUAACGGGAUAAGAUUAGCUGGCAUAACUACACCAUCUACCAUCACUGGACACCCUGGAUAAACACUAUCAACAUAACAUUUGUCCCUUCUAGGCAUAGCAAACUCUAAAUCAAAUCCUAGAGGUGUAGGGUGAGGUUGAGUCAUUUGAGCAAACGUAUGAGAAAUCACAGAAUGUGUAGCACCACAAUCAAUCAAAACUCUAGCAAAGUGACCAAGGAUAUUUAACGUACCUAUAAUCAAGUCCGGAUGAUUCUGAGCAUCUUGCAGUGAGAUGUAAUUAACACGCCCUUGAGCUUGCUGUCGUCCACCACAACCUCUGUUGCCUUGGUUACCUCGCCCUUGAGAAGUACGUCCAUGUCCUGACUGACUAGACUGCCUAGGCGGUCCUGCACUGCUAGCAGCAACCUCUCCCUGUCGGGACUGACUUCCCUGGUGCCACUGAGAUCCACUAGAUGACAUGGAAGAAUAAGAAGUAUAACCUCCAGGGUCUUGGGAAUACCCAGUCUGAGAAUAAGGGUCCUGGAAAUACUGAUACUGUUCGGAAGCAUAGGGAACAGUAUCACCCUGGUAGUGGUAAGCACCACCACGACCCGUCUGACCAUAACUGCCUGAUCCAAAGUUCUGCUGAAUCGGCGCUGGAGGUGGCAUAGUAGACUGCUGAGAUCUCUGCUGACUCUGGGAACACUGAGCAGCCAUGUGUCCUAUCUGUCCACAAGUGUAGCAAGCACCGCCACCACCACUUCUCCUACACUCUCCAUGAUGUCUGAAGUUACAACGGCGGCACAACGGAGCACCAGAACCACCAGCACCACCAAAAUCUCUCUAUCUCUGAAACCUGGGUCCACCAGCAAAUCUUCCACCUCUCCUCGAGCCUGUGACAUUAAAUCCUCCACUGGAAAAACUCGAGCUCGCUCCACUUCUCUUGAAAUUUUAUGUCUUACGGGGUCCCUGAGUAGAGAUACCUUUACCCCUAUCAUCUUUCUUCCGAUUAUCAUUCUUAUCUUCAUCAUCCUCAUUGUUACUAGAAAGGUUGUCGAAAUCUUCCAUCCGAACCAAAAUCUCAGAAAACUCAUGAUAAUCGGUGCAAGGAAGCGCACUAGCAAAAGUCUGCCAUUUCUUCUUAGUUCCCAACUUAAAACGGCGAAGCAUCUCUGCCUGAUUACCAGCUGUAUCAGGAUCAUAACGAGAUAAGUUUAUAAAUUUCCUGUAAUACUCAUGCGCCGACAUAUCAUUUUGCUUCAGAUGAGUAAACUCCUGCUUCUUCCGAUCAAUGUACUCCGGCGGAACAAAUCUUUUCAUAAAAUGCUCCUUGAAUACCUCCCAGUCAACUGCCAUCUCAGGUGACAUAAACUUAGUCUGAUUUAUCCACCAACCUGCUGGCUCUCGUCCUAAAAACCAAGUAGUGGUCUCCACCCAUCUAUUAGCAUGAAGGUUCCCUUGACUCUGCAUCACCUGGAAAGUCUUCUCAAUAUGGUCUAACCACUUUUCUGCCCCUUCAUGACCCUCAUUACCCAUGAAACGGUCCAAUUUCAGAUUACACAUAGUCUCUAGGGGUGUUCUCCAAGAUGAGGAGGAUGACGGAUUGCAUUCUGAAAGGCAUGGGUCAUCGCUUCCCAUAAUUGAGCUAUAUCAGGGAAAUUAGACUCAGAAGCACAGCGUGAUUCCCUACGAGGCGACAUAGUUCUGACAGAAGACAUCAAAAGAUCAUUAGAACAUUAACAAUUUAUACAGGACUACAACCUAGGUCUGAUACCAAACUGACACACCCCGAUCCUAGAAUCAAGGUGUGUUGGCCGUCACGUGAGCGUGAUGUAACCAAAAGUGCGAUGCGGAAGCAACAGAUAUGAGAAAUACGAAGGAAUAAAAACCAACUACUAAAAAUAAUAUCCAACUAGCAUGCUAGAGUGAGUUGUAAAACACACAAAUUCAGAGCAUAAGUACUAGGUGCAGUCAAGUAGGACCAUAUCUAAGUUACAACACCCGCAGGUGAGUCUUACAUUUAUGUAGUCUGUCAGUACGCCGUGGGAAUCCUCGUGGGCCACCAACGCUACUAUUUAGAACCUGGAGGGGUGCAAAACAAAAUUGAGUGGGUCAGUAAAAUCAAAGUUUUCCAAAAACAUUUCAUUUAAAACAUUUCUAACCCCUCACUGUAAAACCUGUAUACUUUCCCAGAAAAUAACAUAAUAGCAUAAUAUUUGUUCAUAUCUCUCAAAACAUCAAUCUUUAUCAAAAUCCAGCAAGUAUGCCAUGCUAUAAAUGUCAAUGACAGAAUAUGGAUGCAUCAAUGUAACAGGUGACAUAAUGAAACAACCGGAGACCCUACAGUUGGUCCUAUAUGGUUAAUUCUAUAGCUCAAUAUCCAACCCAGCCGGAGUCACCACGGUGACCUGUAUGGCGCUACUCUGCACAUAAGUCGGAAUUACCUGAAGUAGUCUGUACGACAAAAAAAGUGUAAGAAUACGCUCUAGUGCUUCUCUCAUCAGUCAUCUACGCGCAUAAUCUAAGGUCACCUACCUGUCGGAACCACCUCUAGUGAUUUAUAUGACUAGCAUGUCGAAACCCUCUUCAUGGUCUGUACGACAUGCACCUACUUGGAUCCAAGGUGAACGUGCGAUGCGGUGAAUACUAUAAGCACUAACACCGGGGUGCAGGUUAUGAGCUCUCAACACAAUUCACAUCAUCAAUGAUUCACAUGAAUAACAUAAAACUCACCUGAUACUCACCUGUGCGUCCACAGCACCAAUUCACAUAUAUAUAUAUGCAUCAAUUAUCAAUUCAUAAAAUUCAUAAUAUGCAUGCAUGGCAUUUGAAAAACAUACUUUCAUUUAAAUUCAAUUUCUGGGAAAAUCAAUAGUAUAUAGGUAAAUACAGAAAAUAACUGCCCACUCACUGAUAAGUCGAAGGGUCGUAGCCCCCGUGACGUCCCUGGAUGCGCUCGUCCUAGAUGAUAGGUAUCACCUAUAUGCGAAACAACUAAAACAACGUUAUUUAAAGCACAUAACCGACAAUUCGUAAAACUUCUCAUACGAUGCUCAAUUUGGGUAUAUGAAUAUACCACAGUGACCUACUCGACGUCACGGACGUCGACAUAUGUUUAAAAUAAUUUUUGGGCUUGUCACGCGCCCCCACGCGUUGGGACAGGAAUGGGUCCACGUGCCCCCCACGCGCAUCAUCCCCUACCUCCAGUCGCCUGGAAAACUCGCCAGCAUCGGAAAUUGGGCAGACCUGUAAUCGGUCUUUUCUCGCUCGAUUCUCAACCCUUUUCCAUGAAAUUUUCACCAAAACUUCACAAAUUACGAGAGGAAUAAGGCUAUACCUUUAAAAACCUCCAAAACCUUCGAAAUCACGUUGGGAAAUUUCACCAAAACCAUCCACCUUCGAACCUUGUGAUCCCAAUGUCCAAAACUUUCAAACGAACGUCCCUGAGCUUCGUGAGAACCUCCUAAAGCUCACUAUGACCUUGGAUUGUCCUAAAAACGAACCAAUACAAAGUUCAUGAACAGUGCCAAACUUAGUGCUUGUAAUUUCGACGUGAAAUCGAAAGAUUUCUUACCUGAAAUGGGUGUGGUUGAGUUCGUAGAGUCCUUACGAGCACGAUGGUACCUUCAAAACCUUUGAUCCGUGCUUGGAGGCUCGAUGGUGAGUGUGUCCGUACGGUUUAGGGAGGGAGAGAGUGAACUGGGAAGAAGAGAGAGAGAGAGAGAGAGAACACGGGGGAGAAAGAGGGAAGAUGUCCCGUGUGGUCCAACCAAAACAAUCCAAAAAUCCAAAUUCCUUUAAUCCCUAACCACAUAAAAUACAAACCAAUUUUAAUCCAACUUAAAUUAUUUUAUCCAAAAGUUUAGGAAUGUAUGUAUUUAGUCCAAUAAUAUGUCACACACACAUACCUUAGCACCCGUCAAGGGUAAUUCCAUCAUUUCACGUCCUCGAUAAAUAAAAUCACGGGACGGGCUGUGACAAAAAAACCUUCAAAUUCGUAUACAAAAAUCUUGUACAAAACAAAUUUAGUAGUUUUAGUUUGAAUUCUCAAUUCAAUGUUACAUAUACAAAAUCAAACCGUUUACCAGAUAGGAAUAGAUCGAGAAAGGGAGAGGAUUUGAGAAGGUUUUGAAGAGAGAUGGGGGAGGGGGGGUAGCUGCUGCAACUGGUUUGCAUUUUUUGCCUCCCAAACUGAUUAAGUGAUUUUAAAAAAGUCGUUGACUUUGCGCGACGAAGACUGGCGGCGCACAAAACAGCUUUGCGCGACGCAGGUGCACCUACGCCGUUCAAAGUUGUUUUGAGCAAUGUAGGUGCACCUGCGUCGCACAAAGUUGCUUUGAGCUAUGCCAGUCUUCGUCGUGCAAAGUUGAGAAAAAAACGGUAAAGCAUUUUUGGUUUGGCUCCAAAAUCUUGCCCAACGCACAAAACAUCGCGCAAACGGCCUUUGCGCAACAACACUUCGUGCGACGAAAACUAGCGUUGCUUGACGCAGGUGUACCUACGUCGCGCAAAUCUGUUUUGUGUGACGCCAGUCUUCGUCAUGCAAAGUGCCGUUGUGCGAAGGCCGUUUGCGCGACGUUUUGUGUUUUGCAUCGCACAAGCAUACUUUGCGUGACAAAAUUUGCUCCGUCACGCAAACAUGUUUUUGUACUAGUGUGGGCUGAGCCUCACAAUAGGCUAUUAUAAUAUGAUUCAAAUUCAUCUUUGAUGAUAAUCAAACCUAGGAUAUCUCACUUACAAAUGAAGAUGAAUACCACUAGAUUAUAAUACUAAAUAGUGUAAUGUCCUUAUAAUGAGAAGCAAAAAAAGAGUGGGUAAAACUUUAAAAUGAAGUCUCACUAUAAGAAAAAAUAACAUGGUUGUAAUUGGUUGAAUCAUUAACAGAAUUGUCAAUUCAAAAUUGUUAGAAAAAGCAUGACAUACUAAAAACUACAUUAACAUCUUAUUCUAAUACCGAUUUUAGCAAAUUUAAUUACUUUUCAACUAAACUAAACACUAAUACGGACCUAUACUUCGAUGAUCAUUCCAUUUCUUCAGCUUCGCAAUUAAGUAUUUCUUUGAAAACCAACAUUUAUAGAAGUCAUGAUAGCUUAGUCUCAACAAAUAGCUUCCACGGAUGGACGAGGUAUUAACCCGCAAAAUUUAUCUAGUAGGAUAGAAAACUAUAAUCACAAUUUCGUCAAUCGCAAUUAAUUUUAGUUAAAUAAAUUGGUGUCGUUGUUUUUAGUUAUAAAAUGGGAAUCGAAAACUUAAUCUAUCUUACUGGUGACUCAUUAAUUCACAAUAUCUGACCACUUUAAUUAACUAACCAAAAGCAAUCACUAUUAUGUUUUUUAUUUUUAAUUCAUACGCUCUCACCUACUUUAAGAGAUGGGGGAAAUAAGCCUCCGAAUGAGCUAACCAUAAUUAUUUGGUUCGAAUUUUCUUUAACGAGAAUUGAACCUAAGACUCUCUCACUUACAAGUGAAGAAAAUUACUAAGGUCUGGUAGUAUUAAGUGAUCACUAUUUUCUUUUUUGUCCGGCAUAAAUUAUACUCAACUAAGCCCUUGUAUAAUGCAAGCACAAGCAUAGAAAGGUAAAUUAAUAUCAUUCUUUUUCCUAAUGCUAUGGAAAAAUAAAGGGAACUUUAACGAAAAUCACCAGGUAAUGUUCACUUUAACGAAAAACCACAUUUUUAUAUUAAAAAGUAAAUCCUAUUACUAUUCACUUUACCCUUUAUUUUGUCAUUAUCAUUAAAACUCAAAGUUUUCAAACCCUUUUUAUUAAUUUUCCUAAAAAUAAAUUGAUUGUCAUUGGAUAUUCAGUAAUAGUAAUAAAGAUAAUAAUGAAUGGAAAGAAAUGAACUGCUUGGAUCUGCAUCAACAACCAAUUUUCGUUAGAAAAGAAGUUUCCGUGGAAACAAUUAUGUAUUUCUAUUUUUAGAGUACUUUCAUCUAAUUUUUUCUAAACCUUAAUCACUUAUAAAUAAUAAAAAAUACCAUUGGAAAUUCGUAAUACAUAGAUUAAAUUAUUAUCAUUAAAAAAAGAACUAUAAUUAGGGCUUCUGUUUGUGUACCGCUCUGCACCGUCGAGAUGUGGAAAACAGAGAGAAUAAAGAGACAACAUAACCCUAACUUUUAGUAUGCAAGUGUAACUGUGUAAGCAUAAAUUUAUAUCUGUUUUUUUGUUUUUUCAGUCGACCGAAAAAAAUAUCUAUAGCCUUUUCUUGCUUCUGGUUGAUCGAUUUGUUAGGAAUGUCGGUACUACAAGAUAGAGAAUGCACAAGGUAAAGUAGAAAAUGGACAUCAACAAUUUAUGUGGGUCGGCAAUUUAUGCCUACAUCUAUGAAACAAUGAUCAAUCUUCAUUAUAUGAAAAAGAUGAGUACAACAAGAGUAGCCUUACCAAGCCCAAGACAAGGCUUGAUGGAUACAAGAAAGUAUAACACACACUUUCUAUCACUCUAAACUUCACUCACAAUGUGUAGUGGAACACUCUCACUCUCACUCUUGGAGUGGAACUUUAGCUUUGGACUUGAUCCUUUGCUACUCACACUUGGUUCUUAAUUGGUUACAUCACUACAACAUCACACCCAUAUUUAUAGGUGAGGGCUUGACAUUCUACUAGUUUCUAGUUCUUUCUUCAAACUAGAACUAGUUUCUAGUUUUUAGUGUAUUCUUCAAACCUCUAGCAUAAAUAAUUAUAGACUAGCCACAAAAUUGUAGCUUGUAGAUCUUUCCAUUUGCAACCAAGGAAGCUAGUACUCUCUAGCUUCUUCCAUCAACUUAAUAACAUGCUAUAAUUGUCUAGCAUGCUCCAGCCACCUCACUUGCUUACUAGAAUAAUCUAGAAUAUUGAUCAUAGGCUGGACCAUAUACCAACACGAUUCUCAGUUGUCUCAUCGGGUUCUUUGUUUCUUUCGGAAGAGGAUCCUCUUCGGAUUCAUUUUAUAGAAAUCUUAGGGAUCUUCACAUCAUAACCGUUUAUUAUAUAUCUUAUAGUUAGUUUUCGUCAGGUAUUAUUUGUGUUUAAUUUUAAAUAAAAAUUCAAAUAAUUUAUAACCGCACGAUGCAUGAUUAAAGGUUAAGAUGUGAGGAUCUCUAGGAUCCUCACAAUUUGGAUCCGGAUGAAAUCCAAAUCCGUUUCUUUCCUGCAUCAAGGGACACGUACAUCCUCAGUUGUCCUCAACUACCGACCUCCUUGACACGCGUCACAAACCUAGUAAACACACCACCACCUCCCUAUAAAUAUCUCUGAGAAAUCCUCUACCGAUCAACAAGCCUGCAAGUCUUGAAAUCUCUCUUGGAAUCGAUCAAAAAUCCUUCAUUUUUUUGGUUGUAGGUUUGCGUUUGAAAAAUGGCCGAGCAAGGUUUCAUGGAUAAGGCCAAGAACUUUGUCACAGAUAAGAUAUCAAAUGUGGCGAAACCAGAAGCAGAAGUCACAGAUGUUGAUUUCAAGAAGAUGGGCUUGAGCCAUGUGGAGUACCUUUCCAAGGUGUCCGUGACCAAUCCCUACAGCCAUUCCAUCCCCAUUUGCGAUAUCAAAUACACCCUCAAAAGCGUUAACAGGUUCCAUUUCUCACUUUUUAACACUGGUCAAUUGGGUUCUUGGCGUUAAUUAGGUCAUGUUGUUUUUACGAAGUUCCGCUUUCUGCCUAUAUUUUUUGCUGUGUCAAAUUUGAUCCUUGAAUUUGCGAAUUGUAUCCGACGACCUACAUUUUAACAUCUGUUGAUGUCUUGUGCUCAAUCCGUUUGCCCUAGCAUUUACUUUUGACCAUUUCGUCGCAAGAAACUAACAGAAAUGGACAAAUGUCCUCAGGUGAGAACAGUUUACAAACUACGUGAAUCAAACUUGAUGCAAUUGAAAAGUCAUUUGUGUUGGGUGUGUUUGGUACGCAGACGGGACGGGACGGAACGAAGGUGUAAUUUUUUAAAAAGAUAUGGGGUAUAUUUGUCUUAAAAUGGUAAAACAUUGUGUUCCACAGACCUGGAACAAACCCGUUCCAGGGGUGGAGGGGAGACGCAAAAACACCCAAAAUCUGUCCCGUGGAACCGCCGUUCCACCCAUUUUUGGCGCACCAAACGCGGGACGGAACGCCUCGUUCCUUUCCGUCCCGUCCCGUCCCACGUACCAAACGCACCCUUAAGUAGAAAGUUUUAGGUUCGAUUGAUUUUGAUACUAGAUUAACAGUUGUGUGAUUUAGUUUAAUCUCCAGUGUUGUUUUAUAAAAAAUAAAAGUUCAGGUGGUAGAUUGAUAUUGUGUUUAGGACCUUCCUUUUGCGUCCUGGCGCAAACCACUUUCCCAUUAAUUUAGACUAGCUUAAAAUAUCGCUUUUUUUUUUCAAAAAAAAAAUAAAACUUGUGGAUUUAAUUGAAAGUACAUUGAUGAUGUUGAAAACUUUGUGAAAUUUAGACGGACCAAACCAGCGUUUUGACCUUUUUUUCCCUCAAUUUGUAGUUUGAUUUUGUGUAUAUUUGCAGGGUGAUUGCAUCGGGGACUAUCCCGGACCCUGGAUCACUAAAGGCAAGUGACAUAACUGUGCUGGAGGUGCUAUUGAAGGUGCCACAUAGCAUAUUGGUGACAUUGGCAAAGGAUCUGGGUGCAGAUUGGGACUUUGACUAUGAGUUGGAUAUAGGCCUCACCAUUGACCUUCCUGUCAUUGGCAACUUCACCAUACCACUCAACAAGAAGGGAGAGUUCAAGCUUCCCACCCUCUUCUAAUCACCAUGCCUUUUCAGAUGCAGUAACUUUUGCUAUUUUGUAUUUGGUUGUUGUUUGUUGAUCUAUGUAUAACUUCAUUAUGGAAUGGAUGAGGAAUUAGGGUGGUGCUAAUGAUGUUUUGAUAUUUAAUUAUGUUUGCCAUAUAAACGGUGGGAAUAAAGUUGUAGAAACUGAAUUCUAUGCAAUGUAUUAAAAGCGUGAGGCGUGGGCGAGGCGUCCGAGACGAAGCCACGUCUAGGCGUGAGGAGUGAGGCGGAAGCCUCACGGGAUUUAAUUAUAUAUAUAUAUAUAUAUAUAUGUUUUAUAUAUUAUACAUAUAAUUGUAUAAAAAUAAUACUAUGUAAAAUAAACAUCUAUUCUCAAUUUUUCAUUCAAAUUCAUAAUCAUUCAAAAGAUAACAUCAUCUAAAUUCAUCAUUCAAAAGUAAUAUCAUCCAAAUUCAUCAUUCAAAAGGUAAUACAAAGAAAACAAUAAACAUUUGAUGCAUGCAUAAAGUUAAUGAACUAACAAUUUAUUAAUUAAUUUAUAUACCGACAAUUUUCAACAAUUUAUUAAUUAAUUUAUAUACCCCUGUAGUCCCAACCACUUAGGCCUAACAAUUUCCAACCUACUAGCACCUUCCACUAAAUUUAUAGCCUAACCUUCCCCAGAAAAUGCAGAGGCAGAUUAAUAAAUUUAUAGCCUAAACAAGGCAGCACGCAGAGGCAGCACGUAGAGGCAGUAGAGGCAGAUUAAUAACUUUUCUGUCUAACUAUUAACCCCUCUAUUAUAGCAAAACCUUUCCCAGAAAACUAAAUCCCUAAUUUCAGAAUUUCAAAAACCCUAACCCUUGGGAUCUUGCUGACGCCGCUGGGGCUGGGGUGACGGUGCUGGGGUGACGGUGGUGGGGUGAUGGCGGUGUGGCGAUGAUGUUGCUCCAAGCGACGGCGUGGCGACCGGACCGGUGUUUUGGGCUUCUGGGCAUCUGGCGCGCGGGAGAAGAAGAAGCAAGAAGGCAGAAGGCAGAAGGCAGAGGCAAACAAAGGCAAUCGAAUUCGAAGGUAUGGUAUGAAGACUGAAAAUCCUUACCCAAACGGCUCAGUUUUGGGUUUGGAUGGUUUUCAAAAAAAAAAAAAAAAAGGGUCUGACAAGGCGCCUGGACGCCUUGAGGCGCCUGGACGCCUUGAGGCGCGCAGACGCCUUGAGGCGCGCCUCCGUCGCCUCGGCGUCUCCGGCGAAGCAUUUCGCCUACUCCAGCAAAACUGAGGCGUUUGCCUCACCGCCCAGCCUCAAGCGCGCCCUAGGCGCGCCCCGAGUUCUUUAAAACAUUGAUUCUAUGUCAGAAAAAAAAAAAAAAAAAAAAAAAAAAAAAAAUCUUGCAUAUAAUUAUAAAUAAUUAUGUUACUUUUUAUAUUGCUAAUUGAUUUUACGUGAAACUUUAACUUUUUUGAAAUCUAAAUAGGAGAAAUCAAGGGGAAUAAAGUAGCUUUAUGUGUGUUCUUGCAUUUGUUCUUUCUAUCUCUUUAAGUUGAUAUAACUUUACCAGUUGUAUAGCUUAAUAAGGCACUUUUAUCAAUAGGGGAACUGAAAUGUCAAUUGGAUCAUUUUUUUCCGAACUCUAGUUUACUACCACACUCGAAAUGUCCACAUCAAUUUUUUGACGCAUUGUAGUUUAUCAUGUUUUUAAUUAGUCUAAUACUUUAACUUCUGGACAUGGCGAUAACUAUUUCGUUUAUGUUUUUUUUUUUUUGUAUUUUUUUAACAAAUA
rnacentral:lncRNA from 1 species